UUUUAAAUAUUCAGUAAUUGUAGGUUCUUGUCUAAACCCAACCAAAUUUGGCACACUAAUAAAGUGAAAGGUCAUUUCUCACUGCUGCUUCUCUGAAGAGACAUUCCAGAUCUCAGCUCAACCAUACAAGGGCAGCCAUUUCUGCAGUCCCUGACAACCUCUCCUACAGAAAUAAAGUGGGGCCAGAGUCAAGCUGUACCUGCCAGGUCUGCUGAAAACUGCCUUGCUCUGCCAUGGAUUCAUAAGAAGGAGAACAAGCUUCUAACAAAGUGCAAUGUCACAGAUUGAGUCCUCAGUGAAAAACAUUGAGAAGGGAAGGAAAUGACAGUGUAUGGAGAAGAAGAAAAAUCACAAUUAUUUCCCUUAAAUUUUCUAUAAAAUGAAAACUUUCUUCUACAGUUCAAAACUGAGAA